ACUCUAGAAUUUUGGUAUGGGCUAGGCAGAGGGUGACCAUAUGACCAGCCUCCAACAUGAAACUCUGGGCAUUGAAUCUCUACUGACCUGCUCAGACAGGGUUUUACUCUAUCACCCAGGCUGGAGUACAGAGGCACCAUCUCAGCUUACUGCAGCCUUGACCUCUCAGGCUCAACAGAUCCUCCCACUUCAGCCUCCUGACUAGCUGGGGCUACAGGCGCGCGCCACCACAUCCGGCACUGGGGAAGAAGCAUUUCUAACAGGAGCCUGCAUGCUGAGGAUGGCAGAGGAAAAAGACAGAGCCAUACUGAGCCCUUGGAGAUGCCACUGAGGAGCUACGCUAACCAAUCCUGGAGGCACCAUAACCUAGGACUUCUUCUUAUACAAGGAUGCUAGAGAGCAGUCUUCAGCCUGAGACCCAUCUCUAGCUUCUAACAACUCAGUAUACUCCUAUGAACAAAAUUUGGAGCAUAUUUGUUUCUCUCUACCUGAUUUCUUCAGACUGUGGAAACUAUUUGAAUCAAACUUGACUUAUGGAUCCAAUAAAGCCCUUGGAAAAACUGGCCUCAUAUUUUGUGUAAACAGUCCCCGUACAGGGUUUCUGACUUGUGUUUUCCUAAUUUGGAAUCACUGAAAACUAAGUUUUGCUUUCUUAAAACCCUGUGAACUGAAGCCAGACAACUUAAACUUCAGAAGAAAAUAACAGCAACCUAUUUGCAUACAUAAGCCACUUGCAUACCUGCCUACUAAUGUAUGGACUUCAGAGUAAUGUGGCUGAUAUACAUUUUUCCAGGAUUGUUCUUUUGUUUAUUGUUGUUUUUCUCCCUUCUUCCCCCAAUUUUCUCUUCAUAGGACAUGAGACUUCACAGCCUGCUAAAAAUAAGCUUUUGGGACCUACCCAUUUAGGAAUAAACAGUCCUAGCCUUGAGAGAUCAGAUGAAAUCUGAGGCCAGAGACUCAUUUUCUUCUAAAAUGCUUUCUCCAAAAGAUUUUUAAAUAGAAAAGAGGGGAAAUGUGAAAGGAAAAUGUCUUCAGCCCCUUCAAGCUGGGAACUCUCAGUACAAAUCUGUCUCUCAUUCUAUUCAAAGUCAUUUCUCUGCUCAGAGAUAGAUGCAUAUUCUGAUUGCCUUCUUUGGAAAGACUUACCAGAAACUCAAAAGAAUGCAACCAUCUGUCUCUCACCUACCUGUGACCUGGAAGCCCAUAGGGUAAAGGGGGCUUGCUUUGAGUUGUCUCUACUUUUCUGAAUGGAAUGAAUGUACUUCUUACAUUUAUUGAUUGAUGUCUCAUGUUUCCCUAAAAUGUAUAAAACCAAUCUGUGCCCCGGCCACCCUGGGCAUGUGUUGUCAGGACUUCCUAAGGCUAUGUCACAGGUGCAUCCUCAACUUUGGCAAAUAAACUUUCUAAAUUAACUGAGACCUCUCUCAGAUUUUCUGGGUUCACUAUUCCUACUUGGAAAAUUGUCGAUAUUGUGAAUGAGGGGGAUUUGAAGUAUCAUUGUUUCUCUCCCUCCCCAAAAUCAGUUUUGGAAUUACCCUUUCUCUCUCAUUUCCAAAGAUUAGGUAUGAAAUGAAAAUGUAACCCCCAAGGCUGCAUCCAAUCAGGGCAAUGAUUUUUUGAUUUUUGUCUCUUGUUCAGGUGAGGAAUCCCUUUUUCUUAUAGCACUAUGGGCAAUCUGAUGAUAGGAAAACAGUGGUGCUGGUUUUGAAACUGCCUUUGCAAAAUUAUAACUGAGGAAAUUAUAACAGUGAAAGAAAUCAGACCUGACUGACUCUAUCUUGCUUCCAACCCUUAAGCUGUCAUUCAUUCCUGGGCAUAGGUGGAACUAACUUUGGGAAGGAUUUCAAUUCACGGUUUGACUCUGAAACAAAAUUGAUAACAGCCCUUUCCCGAAAAGACCCCCUUCUUGUCUGAGGCCCAGUCUGCCGUUGCAGGACUAACAAAUUAGCUACAAGAUUGGAAAUUACAAUUUAGGGCUCAUGCAGCCUCUGGCUCCAAGAGUCUGAACCUCCCCAAAUUGCUCCUGGGGGUAACAUCACUAUUGUAAAACCUAAAUUCAACACUUGAGAUAUUUUGCAGACCCUGCACUCGAUGAAUCAGCUGACACCUCCCAGGCCUGUUAUCUGGCCCAACUAGUUCUGCCAUUACACCCAGGAAUAGAAGACAUUAAGAAAACCUAACUUCAACCCACUAUGAUUCCAUCUCCAUCCUGACCAACCAGCAGUCCCCACUUUCCAAGCCCCUACCUACAAAAUUCUUUAAAAACUCUGAUCCCCAAAUGCUCGGC
rnacentral:lncRNA from 1 species